UUCAUUUAUUUGUCCAAGUUCAAAUCCUUGUUCAAAUAGCUUAGUGUCUUUUUUUUGUUGUUUGUUUGUUUGUUGUUUGUUUUUAACCUUGGUGUGUAAAAUGUAAUUUUAGAGAGGAAGCUGGGACCUGCACAGAUUCUUCUCCCCUUGCUCACCCCAACCCUGUAGUUGUGGAAAGCUGAUAUUGUUGUUCUACCCACUGCUUUCCUUUCCAUGUUUUAGGCAUUCCCUGUAAAAUCUAGAAUUGUCUUUUUGCUAUGGGCUCUGCCCUGUGUUUCAUCCCUAGUACCUGCUCUUUCCAGCUCCCCUAUCAGCUGUGAAUCCUCUGUCAUCAAUAAUCCACUACUUUAACUGGCUUAGAGUUUCCUUCUCUCUCUCUCUCCCUGUCCCGGUCAGAUGCCAGAUUAGAGCCAGCAGAAGCCUGCUACUAUCCCUGUUGUAUGCAUUAAUCUUCUUACAAGUGUGGUCUGUUCUGUAUUUAACCUCUCCACUCCGCAUAGCCAGGUUUAUCUGAAAUUGCUCAAGCCACUAAUCCCAGGCUACCACUUGGUCUGUUCUUCUCCCAGCGAGCAUUGAUGCUGUAGGGAUUUGAAUGAUUUGUUUGGUGCUGUGAAGCCAAAAUCCAUCAGGCUGAUUCAAAUUCAACAGCAAGAUAUGUAAUGGACCAUCUCCCCCCAUAUGGACUAUAUUUCCUUCUAGUCAUGAUGGCAGUGGAUCCCUGUGGUAACUAUGAUGAAGCAAUUAUUAUCACGGGUAAAGAGCAGUUGGAAAGUAUUUGGUGUGUUUCUCUUACUGCGAUUUAACAGCUGGAGACAAGCGAGGGGAGUGGGAACUCAUCUCUCUGCAGUUUCAGCAGCAGUGACCAAUGGAGCACAAUUUGGAAGUUGCCCUUCUGAGCACCUAGAGCAGGACAGACGCCAACGAAGUCAAUGGAAAAGCAGUCAUUCAGACUUUGUCAGGGUUUGAGUCAGAUCCCUGGCUUCAGCAGCAAAGAUUUGUAUUUAUGUAGUUUGCUACAUCACAAUAUGGUGUCUCAAAAUGUCUGCUACCACUCACUUUUAAAGCGUACAUAUAGCACAUACAGUCUUGUCACAGCUGACACCUUUUUUUUUGAUUUUGCUACAUGAGAGUACUCUGUUGCUGAUGAAUCAAGCUGUUUUCAAGAUUGGUUUACUUCUGAAUAUUUUGGGGGAGGAAAGCAAAGGAAGAAGAAUAUUUUUCAAAGAACUAUCCCCAUCCCUAUCUUCUGAGCAAUUUUUCUAUUGAAGACUUUUUUAAUAGUUAUAAAUGCAGUGUAAGCAUCCAUUCUUCUGAUGACUUAUGAAGUAGAAAAAAUUUACAGCCAAAUGGCUUGGCUCAGGAAAGCAUCCUUCUUUAGGACAGCAUUUAGUAUAGGCCAAGUCCAUCAGGGGAAGAAAUGAUGCAGUGUUUUAUCACCCAGAGUUGGAAUGAGCAACCAGUGGUCACCCCGCCAUCACCCCUGCCCCACGGCAGUCCCAGUGACAUCUCUGUCACUCUUUUCAGAAACGUGCUGAGCCCAUUUGUCCGGGCUCCAAUAUGCUCAUCUGCCAGAGACAUCCCCUUCUUUGCAGGAUCCGUCUGCAAAAGCAUCAAUUUAAGCUAUUAGAAGAAUUGCAGUUUCACUCUUUACCAAAAAAAGGAAGGAAAAAACUCUGCAGGUCAUCAACUUGCUAAAUAAUUUAGGCAUGGGUUCCUCUCUUGUUGCACAGCACUGCUGUUAGCAGCAGCAAGUGCAAUAUGCACGCUGCAAGAAGAGAAGAGGCAGGCUAGGCCAAAUUCUGCCCUCAGAGGCAUACGCACAAUUUCCAAUGACAUCAGUGGGAAUUGUGCGUGUGGAUUGAGGGCACAAUCUGGCCCUUUAUUUUCAGCUGCUGUAUUAUGAUCAUGACAUGCUAAUUUCUAAUUCCUUUAGCAAAAAUAACACAGGAAGGCUUAAAUAUUAAUGUUGCCAAAUGUCAGAAACACCUCUGAAUAGUCUUGAGCAAAUUCAUGAAAACAGAUUUCAGGAACCAUGGCCAUGCUCAUUAUUGGAACCUGACAUCUUCAAUCAGUUAAAACUCUCCUUAUCUUCACUGGGGUUUUGCCAAGCUAAGAACUGAAUAAGGUCUGUGGGAUUUAUCUCGGUGGUAGCUGCUUUGGACAUCGGUCUCCUGACAGCCAUGGUCACAGCUUCCCACUCAGAGGGACGGAUGUGAAAGCACAGAUGUCAUUGUGGGAUGCUAGACAUCGAAGUAGGGCACCUA